rnacentral:ncRNA from 1 species
CAAGCGCACACUCAGAUUAUAAUUUAAAGCGGUAGAAAGUUGACAGCGAAUCACGUGGGGGAUUUUCAUCUAUGGUUCGGAACCUAGAUAGGGAAAAACUGGUCACUAAUUGCAAGUAGAGAGGUGUGAUAAAUGUAACACCAGGGAGAGUGAAUGCAGCCCAAAGUGGGUGGUAAACUCCAUCUAAGGCUAAAUACCGGCACGAGAUAGUCAACAAGUACUGUAAGGGAAAGUUGAAAAGAACUUUGAAGAGAGGGUUCAAGAGGGUGUGAAACCAUUAAGAGGUAAACGGGUGGGGCCUGAGCAGUCCGCCUGAAGGAUUCAACCCGGCCUCGCGCUGGUGGACGGUGUGAGGCCGAGGUAGCUCCUCUUUGGCUCUUAGUAACAGGU